rnacentral:rRNA from 1 species
UACAGAGGGUGCGAGCGUUAAUCGGAUUUACUGGGCGUAAAGCGUGUGUAGGCGGUUUGUUAAGUCGGGUGUGAAAUCCCUGGGCUCAACCUGGGGAUUGCAUUCGAUACUGGCAAGCUAGAGUACGGUAGAGGGCGGCGGAAUUCCUGGUGUAGCGGUGAAAUGCGCAGAUAUCAGGAGGAACACCAAUGGCGAAGGCAGCUCGCUGGAACGGUACUGACGCUGAGGCGCGAAAGCGUGGGGAGCGAACAGG